rnacentral:rRNA from 1 species
GUGGGGAAUAUUGGACAAUGGGCGAAAGCCUGAUCCAGCCAUGCCGCGUGUGUGAAGAAGGUCUUCGGAUUGUAAAGCACUUUAAGUUGGGGGGAAGGGCAGUAAGUUAAUACCUUGCUGUUUUGACGUUACCGACAGAAUAAGCACCGGCUAACUUCGUGCCAGCAGCCGCGGUAAUACGAAGGGUGCAAGCGUUAAUCGGAAUUACUGGGCGUAAAGCGCGCGUAGGUGGUUUUGUAAGUUGGAGGUGAAAUCCCCGGGCUCAACCUGGGAACUGCAUCCAAAACUGCAUGACUAGAGUACGGUAGAGGGUAGUGGAAUUUCCUGUGUAGCGGUGAAAUGCGUAGAUAUAGGAAGGAACACCAGUGGCGAAGGCGACUACCUGGACUGAUACUGACACUGAGGUGCGAAAGCGUGGGGAGCAAACAGGAUUAGAUACCCUAGUAGUCC